ACCCGGGAGGCUGCAACCCAUGGAAGCUGUACGCAUGGGGUAGCAGACUAGUGGUUAGAGGAGACCCCUCCCAAGAUACAACGCAGCAGCGGGGCCCAACACCAGGGGAAGCUGUACCCUGGUGGUAAGGACUAGAGGUUAGAGGAGACCCCCCGCACAACAACAAACAGCAUAUUGACGCUGGGAGAGACCAGAGAUCCUGCUGUCUCUACAGCAUCAUUCCAGGCACAGAACGCCAGAAAAUGGAAUGGUGCUGUUGAAUCAACAGGUUCU
rnacentral:lncRNA from 1 species